rnacentral:rRNA from 1 species
GUGUCAGCCGCCGCGGUAAUACGUAGGGCGCAAGCGUUGUCCGGAAUUAUUGGGCGUAAAGAGCUCGUAGGUGGUUUGUCGCGUCUGUCGUGAAAGCCCAUGGCUUAACUGUGGGUCUGCGGUGGAUACGGGCAGGCUAGAGGCAGGUAGGGGAGAACGGAAUUCCCGGUGUAGCGGUGAAAUGCGCAGAUAUCGGGAGGAACACCGGUGGCGAAGGCGGUUCUCUGGGCCUGUACUGACGCUGAGGAGCGAAAGCGUGGGGAGCGAACAGGAUUAGAAACCCUAGUAGUCC